AGUUUCAGAGGGCGUUCGGCGGCGGCAGUGAGCUUCGUCUGCUGCUGUUGUUCGCCGGAGAUGGGCCUCGGCGGCCGUGAAUUCGGAAGAGAGAGAGAGAGAGAUCGCCGCUGCUGAGUGUAUUUCCGGUGACUGGUGUGUGUGUGUGUGCGUGCGUCUGUGUACGUGGGAGCGACUGUGAGUGUGAGAGUAACGAGAUGGGGGGGAUGGCGCGGCGUGAAUGGAGAGAGAAGAGAGAGGCGUGAGAGUGGUGAGAAUGAGAGAGUGCGGCUGAUGGGGGGAGAAGAAAGGAGAAGAAUGGUGAGGGUUGGGCUUUGAGUGUUGGGUGAGGGUUGGGCUUUGAGUGUUGGGCUAGGGUUUGAGGGACUUGGGCCGAGUUUUAUGAGUGAUGGGCCGAUUUUUAAAUAGAUUUGGGCUGCGAUUUUUAAAAGCUUGGGCCGAUUUCUAAUUUUAUUUAGCUGGGCCCGAUUUAUUUUAUUCAGUCUGGGCCAUUCCUAUUUUAUUGAGUUGGGCCUCGUCUUUUAAAUUUAUAUGGGCUAUUAUUUAUUUAAGCAUGGGCUCUAUUUCAUCUAUUUAAAUGGCU
rnacentral:lncRNA from 1 species